rnacentral:siRNA from 1 species
CUCCUACCGAUUGAAUGAUCCGGU